rnacentral:rRNA from 1 species
UACGUAGGGUGCGAGCGUUGUCCGGAAUUACUGGGCGUAAAGAGCUCGUAGGUGGUUUGUCGCGUUGUUCGUGAAAACUCACAGCUUAACUGUGGGCGUGCGGGCGAUACGGGCAGACUGGAGUACUGCAGGGGAGACUGGAAUUCCUGGUGUAGCGGUGGAAUGCGCAGAUAUCAGGAGGAACACCGGUGGCGAAGGCGGUGCUCUGGGCCGGAACUGACGCUGAGGAGCGAAAGCGUGGGGAGCAAACAGG